UACAGAGGGUGCGAGCGUUGUCCGGAAUCACUGGGCGUAAAGGGCGCGUAGGUGGCGACCCAAGUCUGUGGUGAAAGCUCGAUGCUUAACAUCGAGUCGGCCGCGGAAACUGGGUGGCUCGAGCACUGUAGGGGCAGAUGGAAUUCCGGGUGUAGCGGUGGAAUGCGUAGAGAUCCGGAAGAACACCGGUGGCGAAGGCGGUCUGCUGGGCAGUUGCUGACACUGAGGCGCGACAGCGUGGGGAGCAACAGGAUU
rnacentral:rRNA from 1 species